UACGUAGGGUGCAAGCGUUGUCCGGAAUUAUUGGGCGUAAAGAGCUCGUAGGCGGUUUGUCGCGUCUGGUGUGAAAAAUCCAGGGCUUAACCCUGGACCUGCAUCGGGUACGGGCAGACUAGAGUGCGGUAGGGGAGAUCGGAAUUCCUGGUGUAGCGGUGAAAUGCGCAGAUAUCAGGAGGAACACCGGUGGCGAAGGCGGAUCUCUGGGCCGUAACUGACGCUGAGGAGCGAAAGCAUGGGGGAGCGAACAGG
rnacentral:rRNA from 1 species